GAAGGGUAAAGGGCAAGAUGUGUGUCGUAGUUAACGCGUUAAACAGGGCGCCUGGGAAGUACGGCCGCAAGGCUAAAACCCAAAGGAAUUGACGGGGACCCGCACAAGCAGUGGAGCGCCUGGUUUAAUUCGAUGAUCAGCGAAGAACCUCACCUAGGCUUGAACUGUAGCUGCAAGCUCCCAGAAACGGGAGAAUCCUUCGAGGGUGCUACAGAGGUGCUGCAUGGCUGUCGUCAGCUCGUGUCGUGAGAUGUAGGGUUAAGUCCCACAACGAGCGCAACCCCUAUUCAGUGUUAUAAUUACUCUGAAGACUGCCCUGUCCAAACGGGGAGGAAGGAGGGGACGACGUCCAGUCAUCAUGUCCCUUAUGUCUAGGGCUACACAGACGCUACAAUGGCCGGUACAAUGGGUUGCCAAACCGCGAGGUGGAGCCAAUCCCAUCAAAGCCGGUCCCAGUUCAGAUUGCAGUCUGCAACUCGACUGCAUGAAGUCGGAAUUGCUAGUAAUCGCGAAUCAGCACGUCGCGGUGAAUACGUUCUCGGGUCUUGUACACACCGCCCGUCAGGGCACGGGAGUCGCUCUUGCUCGAAGUUCCCGAAUAAUUCGGGACCGAAAGUUAAGGGUGGCAACCAGGCUUAAGUCGUAACAAGGUAGCCGUAGA
rnacentral:rRNA from 1 species